UUGCAUGGCGAUGUUUAAGGUUGUAAAUGUAAUUGUAUUACAAAGUAGAAAAGUUUUUAAUUGUGAUGUUUUUUUAUUCGUACUUAUUUUGGUGUCUAGACUUAAUCGUGUGCAUGGCAUUUCCUCUAUGCUGCAGAGUUCGCCUUUGGUCAGACAAAAAUGAUCAAUGAAUGUCAUGAUAAAGGUUUUCCUGAAGGCUUCCUGUUAAUCAAUUCGACCUUAACUUUCUCUGGGUUUGGGAAUGAUUGGAAUAAUUGUAGAGUGGUUGUGAAGGGAUUUCACGUGGCAAAGAAUGGGAUAUAAGUUAAGACUUAGAAUCGUGGAUGAUUUUCUCACCAUAGUGGGUUCAGGUACGAGAAGGUUGGGGUCAUUAAAUAAGGCCUUAUUAGGCAAAUAGAUUUAGAGAUCUGCAGUGGGAACCCAUUGUGGAGGAAGAUGGUUAGAAGGAAGUAUUGGAGGAAAAUGAGGUAAAGGUUAUUUGGUGAGUUUGCAGAAAGGCAUUGGAAAUGGUUGUAAAAAAAUUUGAUAAACCUACAACACACAUGAUUGGGGUGAUAAGAACAAGCUUAGAUUUCGGCCGGAUGUUUUGUACAGUGAUAGGAUCCUAAAUUGAAUCCUAUCCAUACCCAAUGAAAUUUGUCAUGAGAUGCAGAGUGGAGCCGGAGAGAGCUUUUCUUUGAAGGAAGCAUAAGAUAGUAGGGUGUCAAGUAAGGUAUCAAUUCUCAUGGGGAAAGCCCAUUCAAAUAGAGUUAUUGUUACUGAUAAUAAGGUGAACAGAGGAAAGACCCCUCCCAAAUUGCUUCUAUUAGAUGAUUAAAUAGGUGGAAAAAACAGUAGAUUAGUUGGUGAUGCAUUUUUUGGUGGCUGCAGGUUAAUGGCAAUCUAGGGUGUUGUGGAUGAGGAGUUGUUAUCAGGUUGUCACAGAAGAGUUGUUGCUCAGAGGCAAAGCACUACGUGGAUGGCAGUGAUUUUAAGCUUUUAGUCUAGAAUAGAUGGAGAAAAAAGAAAAAGAAGAAAUUCUUGAGGGAAAGAGGCUUCUAUAACAUGGCAUUCAUGUUUGGACACAUUCUCCAGGAGGGGGGCUACAACAUGGUCUUGCUCCUUCUAGAAGCUCAAUAGAUCUUGUUGCAAUUUUGGAGUUCCAGUGCUAAGGUAGCCUUUGGUGCAUCUAUUAGUGUUGGUCUCCUCAGUUCCAAAGCCUCAUACCGGAUAGAAGAGCCUCAUCGGCUCCCUAGUCAUUGGAAUACCUUAAAGAGGAGUUGUGGGUCUUAUCAAAUAGUUCAAAAAAUACUUGGCUAUGUGCUUCUCUUUCAUUUUGUCCAA